rnacentral:rRNA from 1 species
CCUACGGGAGGCAGCAGUAGGGAAUUUUCGGCAAUGGGGGGAACCCUGACCGAGCAACGCCGCGUGAACGAAGAAGUUAUUCGUAAUGUAAAGUUCUUUUUACAGGGAAGAAAGAGAAAUUUCACGUUACCUGAAGAAUAAGCUCCGUCUAACUACGUGCCAGCAUCCGCGGUAAUACGUAGGGAGCGUGCGUUAUCCGGAAUUAUUGUGCGUAAGGGUUGCGUAGAUGGCAUAGUAAGUCUUUUGUAAAAAUGCUGGGCUCAACCCAGUAGGGCAAAAGAUACUGCAAAGCUAGAGUAUGCCAGAGGCAAGUGGAACUACAUGUGUAGCGGGAAAAUGCGUAAAUAUAUGUAAGAACACCAGUGGCGAAGGCGGCUUGCUGGGUCGAUACUGACAUUGAGGCACGAAAGCGUGGGGAGCAAACAGGAUUAGAUACCCGGGUAGUC